GUCUACAGCCAUGUUACCCUGAACAAGCCUGAUCCCAUCUGAUCUCGGAAGCAAAGCAGGGUUAGGACUGGUUAGUACUUGGAUGAGAGGCCACUUAAAAAGACCAAGUAGGCAUAAAAA
rnacentral:rRNA from 1 species